GGUGGCUUAGUAGUAGAGUGCAUGCCUUGUAUGCAUGAGGCCCUGGGUUCGAUUCCUCAGUACCA
rnacentral:tRNA from 1 species